rnacentral:rRNA from 1 species
AACGAACGCUGGCGGCAGGCUUAACACAUGCAAGUCGAGCGCCCCGCAAGGGGAGCGGCAGACGGGUGAGUAACGCGUGGGAAUCUACCCAUCUCUACGGAAUAACGCAUGGAAACGUGUGCUAAUACCGUAUACGUCCUUCGGGAGAAAGAUUUAUCGGAGAUGGAUGAGCCCGCGUUGGAUUAGCUAGUUGGGGGGGUAAAGGCCUACCAAGGCGAUGAUCCAUAGCUGGUCUGAGAGGAUGAUCAGCCACACUGGGACUGAGACACGGCCCAGACUCCUACGGGAGGCAGCAGUGGGGAAUAUUGGACAAUGGGCGCAAGCCUGAUCCAGCCAUGCCGCGUGAGUGAUGAAGGCCCUAGGGUUGUAAAGCUCUUUCACCGGUGAAGAUAAUGACGGUAACCGGAGAAGAAGCCCCGGCUAACUUCGUGCCAGCAGCCGCCGUAAGAC